rnacentral:rRNA from 1 species
GAUCAUGGCUCAGAUUGAACGCUGGCGGCAGGCCUAACACAUGCAAGUCGAACGGUAACAGGAAGCAGCUUGCUGCUUUGCUGACGAGUGGCGGACUGGUGAGUAAUGUCUGGGAAACUGCCUGAUGGAGGGGGAUAACUACUGGAAACGGUAGCUAAUACCGCAUAACGUCGCAAGACCAAAGAGGGGGGACCUUCGGGCCUCUUGCCAUCGGAUGUGCCCAGAUGGGAUUAG